CCGGAGGACGCACAGCUGGCACCGCUGGACUACUUACCUGUGGUUUCUGGGGCUGGAAGAGACGCUUCCUCUCGGAAGGGUGUCCCAGGGCUAGGGCAGAGGAAGGGGUGGCGCAGGGAAAGCAAGAGAUGCCUGGUGGCUGGACUCGGGGAGUUCCGAGGAGUUUGGACCGCAGCGCCAGCUCGGAACACGGAGGAAGACUUACCCACACCUCAUCCUGCCGCAGUCCUCCUCUUGGGACAGCCUGCGCCCCGCCCACGUCUGCAGGGUGGUGCUGUAGGGCGUGGCUCUGCCUACACCAGGGGCUGCUGGGGGACUCCAAACGGUCUGGCCUGGUAGGGACAGGGAGAGCAGAGACUUGAGUGACCGUGACUGAGUCCGCCCCGGCGGUACCCAAGCUAUAGGCCACUUCCGAGAGCUGGCGGAGUGGGCGCAGGCCUCCGGCAAGAAGUUUGUUGAAGCUGCAGGAUCCGAGAGUGGCGCCAGAAGUCUGAGCUCUCCUCACCUCUCCCACCGAGAAAUCCACACCCCUGGCGCCACCGAAGAUCCAGUUGCGGGGUCCGUCUCUCCUGGGACAGGUCGGCCGGCUUCUAGGCUCAGGCUAAGGACAAAGCUUAAAGUCCUGGUCCGCAUCUUUCAACCAGGUCUCCUUGUCUAGACAAGUCCUUGCUGUCACCUUCAGUGCUCAAGUAGCUGAGUGUGAAGCACAGAACCAGACUGGCGGACGGACACUGUACUGUGAAACGACACGAACCUUCAGCCAUCAACUGUCCUCAUCAGGUAGAAAUAGCAAACCCAGAGGCUAAAAAGUAUGGCGACAAUCUCCCAGAAAAUGAAGCAAAAACAGAGUGCAGGUGAACGUGAGGAGGUUACGAGCCGGUCAGCUCAAGCAGCAACAGCAGCGUGCGUGGGCAGGAAGAAAAACAACACCACGGUAAAACAGUGUGUGUGGAGUGAUUGAACACAGUCUUCUGGAGUGAGAGCUUUCUGACGUACCUGAUCUAUACCAAAGAAAGAGAACACGCAUUCUAAGGCUGACUGCAAAGGUUUAGAAACCAAGAGGGAUAAAGGGAAGAUUCGACAAGCUAUUUCCUUAAUUAUGUUUUCUGAACAAUAUAAUGUUUUUUUAAGUUAGGCACCACUUGGGUAAAAGUAGCUAAAAUGCAAUCUAGUAUUAGGAUCCAUUAGUUACAGAGCCCCAUUAGAAAAAUAAAAUAGAACCCACUACAGUUCAAUAUGUAUUUGAGAUUUUGUUCUGUUCAAAGUAUCAUAAUUGAGGUUUUUAACAUGCACAGCCCCUGGGGAGCUCUUUCCCAGCCAGCAGCUCAUGUACCCCAGGCCUGCCUUGCAGCCAAGGAUGGCCCUGGACUUCAGCUCCUCCUGUCCCCACUUCUGCAGUGGCACAGAACACGCCACCUCGCCCAGUUUCUGUGGUGUGGGGAGGGAAGCCAGGGCUUUGUACAUACUAGGCAAGCACUCUGUCAACUGACCCACAUCCCUGGGAAACUUCAAACAUGGAUAAUCCAGACAAGUAAAUCAGGAGCCUGGGUGUGGGACGCAGGAAGCUGUCGCUCUGCAGGUAGAUCUAACACCCAAGCUGAGUCACAUGACAGCAAGAGGCCAGCAAAGAGAAAAGUUAAAACCCCAGCCCUUAUACUUAAGCUCGCAAGAGACGAUUACAGCGUACCUGACAGGGUGAACUGAACAUCUCAAGAAAGGGCUCAAAGAUUUCCUGUAGAGAUUCACUGUCCAAUACGGUAGCCACCACACAUAUGUGCUUAUUAAAACUUAUGUUAACUAAAACAAAUUAAAAUUCAGUUUCUCAGUCUAGCUAGCUAUAAUUCAGGCUGGGCAUACAGCUCAGUCGUAAACUGCUUGUUCGGCAUGCAUAUAUACCCUGUGUGCCGUGCCCAGUACUGUAAGAGGAAAAAAGGUCUGUGUGUUGUUGGUGGCUACCCUACAACAACCACACCAUGGCGAGCACAAAAGGCAUUUCGAUCACAAGGGGGACUAAUGGCUAAUGCUGAGUCAGAGACACCCAGAAGGAGAAGAUAUUCACAAGACGGCUAAACUAUAAAGAUGUCCAUAGAA